GACGAACGCUGGCGGCGUGCUUAACACAUGCAAGUCGAACGGUGAACCUCUUCGGAGGGGAUCAGUGGCGAACGGGUGAGUAACACGUGGGCAACCUGCCCCCGGCUCUGGGAUAACUCCAAGAAAUUGGGGCUAAUACCGGAUGUUCACCGCUUCCCGCAUGGGUGGUGGUGGAAAGGGUUUCCGGCUGGGGAUGGGCCCGCGGCCUAUCAGCUUGUUGGUGGGGUAGUGGCCUACCAAGGCGACGACGGGUAGCCGGCCUGAGAGGGUGACCGGCCACACUGGGACUGAGACACGGCCCAGACUCCUACGGGAGUCAGCAGUGGGGAAUAUUGCGCAAUGGGCGGAAGCCUGACGCAGCGACGCCGCGUGGGGGAUGACGGCCUUCGGGUUGUAAACCUCUUUCAGCAGGGACGAAGCGCAAGUGACGGUACCUGCAGAAGAAGCACCGACCAACUACGUG
rnacentral:rRNA from 1 species